rnacentral:tRNA from 1 species
UCCCCCGUGGCGCAAUUGGCUAGCGCGUUCGACUGUUAUACGGCAGACUAUCGAGAGGUUGGUGGUUCAAGCCCACCCGGGGGAG